UGAAAUAUGUACCGAAAGCCAUAGACUCAGGAGCGUAACGCUUAAUCUCUGAAAUCCUGACGAGGUUGAUUUUAUAAGAACCCAGUUGCUCUUUUAAGGUCUGCAUGGCUUUGAAAGGGCAUUUUUUAUUAAAUC
rfam:Christensenella minuta strain DSM 22607 genomic scaffold Scaffold234, whole genome shotgun sequence.